rnacentral:rRNA from 1 species
CUACGGGUCGCACCAGUGAGGAAUAUUGCACAAUGGGGGGAACCCUGAUGCAGCAACGCCGCGUGGAGGAUGACGCAUUUCGGUGUGUAAACUCCUUUUACAUGUCAAGAAAAUGACGGUAGCAUAUGAAUAAGCACCGGCUAACUCCGUGCCAGCAGCCGUGGUAAUACGGAGGGUGCAAGCGUUACUUGGAAUCACUGGGCGUAAAGGACGCGUAGGCGGGUUGGAAAGUCAGGUGUGAAAUCCUACAGCUUAACUGUAGAACUGCACUUGAAACUUCUAAUCUAGAGUAUGGGAGGGGGAGAUGGAAUUAGUGGUGUAGGGGUAAAAUCCGUAGAUAUCACUAGGAGUACCUAAAGCGAAGGCGAUCUCCUGGAACAUUACUGACGCUAAGGCGUGAAAGCGUGGGGAGCAAACAGGAUUAGAUACCCUCGUAGUC